rnacentral:rRNA from 1 species
AACGAACGCUGGCGGCGUGGAUUAGGCAUGCAAGUCGAACGAGAAUCUGGAGGUUCAAGUUUUCGGACAAGAACUUUCGGAGGAAAGUGGCGGAAGGGUGAGUACAACAUGGAUAAUCUACCUUCAAGUUGGGUAUAGCUUCCCGAAAGGGGAGAUAAUCCCGAAUGUGGUGAUCCGGCGCCUGUCGGAGAAUCCAAAGGUGGGGACCGCAAGGCCUGCCGCUUGAAGAUGAGUCCGUGCACUAUCAGCUAGUUGGUGAGGUAAUGGCUCACCAAGGCGAUGACGGUUAGCUGGUCUGAGAGGAUGGUCAGCCACACUGGGACUGAGAUACUGCCCAGACUCCUACGGGAGGCUGCAGUCGAGAAUCAUUCGCAAUGGCGCAAGCCUGACGGUGCGACGUCGCGUGGAGGAUGAAGGUCUUCGGAUUGUAAACUCCUGUCAUGUGGGAUAAAUGGCCAGGGCAUGAAUAGUGCCUUGG